rnacentral:rRNA from 1 species
CCUACGGGAGGCAGCAGUGAGGAAUAUUGGUCAAUGGGCGCGAGCCUGAACCAGCCAAGUAGCGUGAAGGAUGAAUGCCCUACGGGUUGUAAACUUCUUUUAUAAAGGAAUAAAGUGAGGCACGCGUGCCUUUUUGUAUGUACUUUAUGCAUAAGGAUCGGCUAACUCCGUGCCAGCAGCCGCGGUAAUACGGAGGAUCCGAGCGUUAUCCGGAUUUAUUGGGUUUAAGGGGAGCGGAGAUGGGUUGUUAAGUCAGUUGUGAAAGUUUGCGGCUCAACCGUAGAAUGUCAAUUGAAACUGGCAGUCGUGAGUACAGUAGAGGUAGGCGGAAUUCGUGGUGUAGCGGUGAAAUGCUUAGAUAUCACGAAGAACUCCGAUUGCGAAGGCAGCUUACUAAACUGCCACUGACAUUGAGGCUCGAAAGUGUGGGUAUCAAACAGGAUUAGAUACCCUUGUAGUC